rnacentral:rRNA from 1 species
AACGAACGCUGGCGGCAUGCCUAACACAUGCAAGUCGAACGAGACCUUCGGGUCUAGUGGCGCACGGGUGCGUAACGCGUGGGAACCUGCCCUUAGGUUCGGAAUAACUCCCCGAAAGGGGUGCUAAUACCGGAUAAUGUCUUCGGACCAAAGAUUUAUCGCCUUUGGAUGGGCCCGCGUUGGAUUAGCUAGUUGGUAGGGUAAAAGCCUACCAAGGCGACGAUCCAUAGCUGGUCUGAGAGGAUGAUCAGCCACACUGGGACUGAGACACGGCCCAGACUCCUACGGGAGGCAGCAGUGGGGAAUAUUGGAAAAUGGGCGAAAGCAUGAUCCAGCAAUGCCGGGUGAGUGAUGAAGGCCUUAGGGUUGUAAAGCUCUUUUACCCGGGAUGAUAAUGACAGUACCGGAAGAAUAAGCUCCGGCUAACUCCGUG